AACGAACGCUGGCGGCAGGCUUAAUACAUGCAAGUCGAGCGGGCACUUCGGUGUCAGCGGCGCACGGGUGCGUAACGCGUGGGAACAUGCCCUUAGGUACGGAACAACACAGGGAAACUUGUGCUAAUACCGUAUAAUAUCUCCGGAACAAAGAUUUAUCGCCUAAGGAUUGGCCCGCGUUAGAUUAGGUAGUUGGUGGGGUAAUGGCCUACCAAGCCGACGAUCUAUAGCUGGUCUGAGAGGAUGAUCAGCCACACUGGAGCUGAGACACGGUCCAGACUCCUACGGGAGGCAGCAGUAAGGAAUAUUGGACAAUGGGCGAAAGCCUGAUCCAGCCAUGCCGCGUGAGUGAUGAAGGCCUAGGGUUGUAAAGCUCUUUUAGAUGGGAAGAUAAUGACUGUACCAUCAGAAUAAGCCCCGGCUAAAUUCGUGCCAGCCGCCGCGGUAA
rnacentral:rRNA from 1 species